ACGCCCGGGUAUUACGAGCUUUAGCUUAAAACCCAAAGGACUUGACGGUGUCCCACCCCCCUAGAGGAGCCUGUUCUAUAAUCGAUACCCCCCGCUACACCUCUCCAUUUUUAGCCUCUCAGCCUGUAUACCUCCGUCGCAAGCUUACCAUGUGAACGCUACUAGUAAGCCCAAUGGCCCUUCCACCAACACGUCAGGUCAAGGUGCAGCUCAUGAAAUGGAAAGCAAUGGGCUACAAUUUCUAACAUAGAACAAACGAAAGACUGUAUGAAACACAAUCAUGAAGGUGGAUUUAGUAGUAAGAAGAAAUCAGAGAGUAAUGNUAACACGGCACUGCUAU
rnacentral:rRNA from 1 species